rnacentral:lncRNA from 1 species
UUGGAACGCUUGGUCUAAGAUAGUAACCAGUAUGGUAUUUUAUAGCAAAGGAUCCUGCGGACUUUGACUUAUCGGAUGCACUAGAUGAUCAGAAUGAUGGGAGAGGUGGUGGGAAACCAAACGUAAAACCUGGUGGAGGCUCGAAAGGUAAAGAUAACCCUUCAAGAGGUGGAAAACAGGCAUUUUCAGAUGAUGAUCUGGCCAGUGUUCUGGACGAUGGGGAGUACC